rnacentral:rRNA from 1 species
CCUACGGGGUGCAGCAGUCGAGAAUCAUUCACAAUGGGGGAAACCCUGAUGGUGCGACGCCGCGUGGGGGAAUGAAGGUCUUCGGAUUGUAAACCCCUGUCAUGUGGGAGCAAAUUAAAAAGAUAGUACCACAAGAGGAAGAGACGGCUAACUCUGUGCCAGCAGCCGCGGUAAUACAAAGGUCUCAAGCGUUGUUCGGAAUCACUGGGCGUAAAGCGUGCGUAGGCGGUUUCGUAAGUCGUGUGUGAAAGGCGCGGGCUCAACCCGCGGACGGCACAUGAUACUGCGAGACUAGAGUAGUGGAGGGGGAACCGGAAUUCUCGGUGUAGCAGUGAAAUGCGUAGAUAUCGAGAGGAACACUCGUGGCGAAGGCGGGUUCCUGGACAUUAACUGACGCUGAGGCACGAAGGCCAGGGGAGCGAAAGGGAUUAGAUACCCUUGUAGUC